AAAAAAAUAAGAAAGUUCGCCCGUAUAAUUUUGGUAAUAUGGACCAGAAGUUUCUACAUGACUACCUUAAAUAGUCUGGCUAUGGGUGUUUAAUUAACUGUU
rnacentral:ncRNA from 2 species